GACGAACGCUGGCGGCGUGCUUAACACAUGCAAGUCGAACGGAAAGGCCCUGCUUUUGUGGGGUGCUCGAGUGGCGAACGGGUGAGUAACACGUGAGUAACCUGCCCUUGACUUUGGGAUAACUUCAGGAAACUGGGGCUAAUACCGGAUAGGAGCUCCUGGUGCAUGGUGGGGGUUGGAAAGUUUCGGCGGUUGGGGAUGGACUCGCGGCUUAUCAGCUUGUUGGUGGGGUAGUGGCUUACCAAGGCUUUGACGGGUAGCCGGCCUGAGAGGGUGACCGGCCACAUUGGGACUGAGAUACGGCCCAGACUCCUACGGGGGGCAGCAGUGGGGAAUAUUGCACAAUGGGCGGAAGCCUGAUGCAGCAACGCCGCGUGCGGGAUGACGGCCUUCGGGUUGUAAACCGCUUUCGCCUGUGACGAAGCGUGAGUGACGGUAAUGGGUAAAGAAGCACCGGCUAACUACGUG
rnacentral:rRNA from 1 species